rnacentral:rRNA from 1 species
ACGUAGGGUGCGAGCGUUGUUCGGAAUUACUGGGUGUAAAGGGUCCGCAGGCGGGCGAGCAAGUCGGUGGUGAAAGUUCAUGGCUCAACUGUGAAAUUGCCUUCGAUACUGCUCGUCUUGAGUCCGAGAGAGGAUGAUGGAAUUCAUGGUGUAGCAGUGAAAUGCGUAGAGAUCAUGAAGAACACCAGUUGCGAAGGCGGUCAUCUGGCUCGGUACUGACGCUCAGGGACGAAAGCGUGGGUAGCAAACAGGAUUAGAUACCCUGGUAGUCCACGCCUUAAACGAUGGAUAUUCGGUGUCGGUCCCGCUCAGUGCUUGAUUCAAGCAUUGAGCGGGAUCGGUGCCUGAGCUAACGCGCUAAAUAUCCCACCUGGGGAGUACGAUCGCAAGGUUG